rnacentral:rRNA from 1 species
AACGAACGCUGGCGGCAUGCCUAACACAUGCAAGUCGAACGAGACCUUCGGGUCUAGUGGCGCACGGGUGCGUAACGCGUGGGAACCUGCCCUUAGGUUCGGAAUAACUCCCCGAAAGGGGUGCUAAUACCGGAUAAUGUCUUCGGACCAAAGAUUUAUCGCCUUUGGAUGGGCCCGCGUUGGAUUAGCUAGUUGGUAGGGUAAAAGCCUACCAAGGCGACGAUCCAUAGCUGGUGAGAGGAUGAUCAGCCACACUGGGACUGAGACACGGCCCAGACUCCUACGGGAGGCAGCAGUGGGGAAUAUUGGACAAUGGGCGAAAGCCUGAUCCAGCAAUGCCGCGUGAGUGAUGAAGGCCUUAGGGUUGUAAAGCUCUUUUACCCGGGAUGAUAAUGACAGUACCGGGAGAAUAAGCUCCGGCUAACUCCGUG